rnacentral:rRNA from 1 species
GGAGUUAGCCGGUGCUUCUUCUGUGAGUGAUGUCCUUCCUGCCGGCUAUUAACCCGCAGGCCUUCUUCCUCACUGAAAGUGCUUUACAACCCGAAGGCCUUCUUCACACACGCGGCAUGGCUGGAUCAGGGUUGCCCCCAUUGUCCAAUAUUCCCCACUGCUGCCUCCCGUAGGAGUCUGGGCCGUGUCUCAGUCCCAGUGUGGCUGAUCAUCCUCUCAGACCAGCUACGGAUCGUCGCCUUGGUGAGCCGUUACCUCACCAACCAGCUAAUCCGACAUAGGCUCAUCCGAUAGCGCGAGGCCCGAAGGUCCCCCGNUUUCCCCCGUAGGGCGUAUGCGGUAUUAGCCUGGGUUUCCCCAGGUUAUCCCCCACUACCGGGCAGAUUCCUAUGCAUUACUCACCCGUCCGCCGCUCGCCACCAGGGAGCAAGCUCCCCGUGCUGCCGCUCGACUUGCAUGUGUGCNCGCCGCCACGCGUCAUCUGAGCGAGAUACAACUACUGA